AGAGCGCCCCGCACUCCUUGGUGGAAAGCGGGCCCGGGAGGGUGAUGGCUGCGACGCGUGAAAGGACUAGCGCCCGAGAGAUCUUCAACACGCUGGAGUACGGACCGGUGCCUGAGAGCCACGCAUGCGCGCUGGCCUGGCUGGACACCCAGGACCGACACUUGGGUCACUAUGUAAAUGGGAAGUGGUUAAAGCCAGAACACAGGAACUCAGUGCCUUGCCAGGAUCCCAUCACAGGAGAGAGCUUGACCGCUUGCCUCCAGGCACAGGCUGAGGAUGUGGCGGCAGCCGUGGAGGCAGCAGGGACUGCGUUCGAGAACUGGAGUGGACUCCCUGGAGCCUCUCGGGCUCAGCACCUGCUCAGACUGGCCAAGAUGAUCCAGAAGCACCAGCGGCUGCUGUGGACCCUGGAGUCCCUGGUUUCUGGGCGAGCCGUUCGAGAGGUUCGAGAUGGGGAUGUCCCACUGGCCCAGCAGCUGCUCCAGUACCACGCUGUCCAGGCGUACACCCAGGAAGAGGUGCUGGCAGGCUGGGAGCCCAUGGGAGUAAUCGGUCUCAUCUUGUCACCCAUGUUCUCCUUCCUUGAGAUGAUGUGGAGGAUUUGCCCUGCCCUGGCUGUGGGCUGCACUGUGGUGGUCCUCGUGCCGCCAGCCUCCCCGACACCCCUCCUCCUGGCCCAACUGGCAGGGGAGCUAGGCUCGUUCCCAGGAAUCCUCAAUGUGAUCAGUGGCCCUGCCUCCCUGGGCCCUGUCCUGGCCUCCCAUCCUAGAGUCCAGAAGGUGACCUUCUGUGGAGCCGUCGAGGAAGGACGUGCCCUUCGGCGGACCCUGGCGGGCAAGGGUGCCGAGCUGGGCCUGGCACUGGGGGCUGAGUCGCUGCUGGUGCUGACGGAGGCGGCGGAUGUGGACUCAGCCGUGGAGGGCGUCGUGGAUGCAGCUUGGUCCGACCGCAACGCGAUUCUUUCCACUUUUCUGAGUGUGCACGUCCCUAGUUUUCCAACCUCUGUCUUCACUCUGAAUCACCACCUUCUGCAACUUCACCUCCUGCUUGGAUGUGGAGCCCUGGGGGGACUCAGGCUCCUCAUCCAGGAGUCUGUGUGGGGCGAGACGAUGAGGCGGCUCCAGGAGCGGAUGGCGCGGCUUCGGGGCGGUCGAGGACUUGAUGGGGCCAUGGACAUGGGGACUCGAGAGGCUGCCGCACGUGACCUGGCCCAGCGCUAUGUGAGUGAGGCCCGGAGUCAGGGUGCACAGGUUUUUCAGGCUGGUGACAGCCUAUUCUUCCCCCCAACUUUGGUCUCUGACCUGCCCCCGGCUUCCCCAUGUACCCAGGCAGAGGUGCCCUGGCCCGUGGUCGUGGCCUCCCCAUUCCGUACAGCUAAGGAGGCCCUGGCCAUGGCCAACGGGACGCCCCGAGGAGCCAGUGCCAGUGUGUGGAGCGAGAGACUAGGGCAGGCCCUGGAGCUGGGCUGUGGGCUCCGGGUGGGCACGGUCUGGAUCAACGCCCACGGCCUGCGAGACACUGAAGUGCCCACGGGUGGCUGCAGGGAGAGUGGGUCUUCCUGGCACGGGGGCCCCGACGGUCUGUAUGAGUACCUGCGGCCCUCAGGGACCCCCGCCAGGCUGUCUUACUUUUCUGAGAAUCUGAACUAUGACACUUUUGGCCUUGCCGUCCCCUCAACCCUGCCAGCUGGACCCGAAAUAGGACCCAGCCCAGCAACCCCUUAUGGGCUCUUCAUCGGCGGCCGUUUCCAAGCUCCUGGGGCCCGGAGCUCCAGACCCAUCAAGAAUUCACAAGGCAAUCUCCACGGCUAUGUGGCUGAGGGUGGAGCCAAGGAUAUCCGAGGGGCUGUGGAGGCCGCUCACCAGGCUGCCCCUGGCUGGGUGGGUCAGUCACCAGGGGCCCGGGCAACUCUGCUGUGGGCCCUGGCAACUGCCCUGGAGCGCCGGGAGUCUGCCCUCGCCUCGAGGCUGGAGAGGCACGGCAUGGAGCUCAAGGACGCCAAGGUGGAGGUAGAGCUGAGUGCGAGGCAGCUUCGGGCAUGGGGCGCCCGUGCCCAGGCCCAAGGCCAUGUCUUGCAGGUGGCAGAGCUGAAAGGCCCCGUCCUCCGGCUACGGGAGCCGCUGGGCGUGCUGGCCAUUGUGUGCCCUAACGAAUGGCCCCUGCUUGCCUUCGUGUCCCUGCUGGCCGCCGCACUGGCCCACGGCAACGCGGUGGUCAUGGUGCCCAGCGGAGCCUGUCCCAUCCCUGCCCUGGAGGUCUGCCAGGUACAGUUGUCUGCCUUCCUGCUACUGCUUCCCGAAGCCCCUGGGCCAGAAGAUGGAUGGAAGGUGCCCCGGGACCUGCACUUGACCCACCCCCUUGGAUAUGGCCGCCUUGUUGCCAGCAGGCCUGGUGAAUGUGGUGACCGGCGACCGGGACCACCUGACCCGCUGCCUGGCCUUGCACCAGGACGUCCAGGCCCUGUGGUACUUCGGAUCUGCCCAGUGGCUGCACCAGGUUACAUUCCCACCAGCAGACGCUUAACCGACUGAGCCACCCAGGCACCCCAACACUUCAGUCUCUUUGAUGAUGGCCAUCUUAACUGGUGUGAGGUGAUAUCUCAUUGUGGUUGUGAUUUGCGUCUCCCUGAUGAUGAGUGAGUGCACUGAAUCUUGAAGGACCAUGAGGAUCUGAUGUGGCUGGAGAGCAUCCCAGGCAGAGGGUACAGCAUGUGCAAAGGCCCAGAGGUCCCAUUCCACUCCGUCCAGUGCUCGGCCCUCCUCCUUCUGGCGCCUCUGUCCAUCUCGGACGGGCCUUCCCCAUUCAAGGCGAGGAUGAAGGCCCCAGGCUGGCCUCCUCCUUGCCCUGUGGGCAUUGCUUCCGGCUGGAGGCAGCUCCCCCUUCGUCGUGUGUCCCGGCUUCGACCCAGCUCAGGGCUCUGGGGUCGCGAGUCCAGCGGAGUCGCCCUCAGCGGCGUGAGCCAUCACCUGCCACCACCAG